AGUGAAGUUGUGAUGUCAAGUAAACGGGAGUUCAAUUUCAUCAUUGCACACUGGCGCAGCUGCUCUGUAGACAAUACAGUACUUGAAAGUCAUUUUUUCCUUGGCAUUUUGAAUAACAAGUUCUGUGAGAUAAAGCACAGUGAAGAUCUUUUGGAAAAGCAUCUGGAAUUCAUCUGUGUAAAGACCAAAUGGCCUUCUUCAAAACAACAGUAAUCCCACCUAUUACCCAUCUUCUUCUGAUGUGACCUGCACCUCCGCAUGCUGCCCAG